ACUUCUUAAACCCUAUAGACGUCACGUCUUCUCUAUUUUCCAUUUCCUUCAUUCCCUUCUCGUUUUUCCUUCAUCCAUUGAAAAUCCAAGAUAUUCCUAAUAGCCUUCGCUUACUCGCCUUAGCUAAACAUGUGUGGUGGAGCUAUUAUAGCAGAUCUCAUUCCUCGCAACCGCGCCCGCGGCAUCACCCCUUCUGACAUAUGGCCUAACUCAUCCUUCUCUAAACGCAGCCCCUUCGAAUCCCAGCCGAACUCAUUCGGCAACCACGAAUCUUUCACUCUCAAAAGAUCGCAAUCUGCUUCAGAUGAUGAUCAUGUGAAAAAGACCCCCGCCAAGAGGCAGAGGAAGAACUUGUAUAGAGG
rnacentral:misc_RNA from 1 species